UACGUAGGGUGCAAGCGUUGUCCGGAAUUAUUGGGCGUAAAGAGCUCGUAGGCGGUUUUGUCGCGUCUGCUGUGAAAACCCGAGGCUCAACCUCGGGCCUGCAGUGGGUACGGGCAGACUAGAGUGCGGUAGGGGAGAAUGGAAUUCCUGGUGUAGCGGUGGAAUGCGCAGAUAUCAGGAGGAACACCGGUGGCGAAGGCGGGUCUCUGGGCCGAUACUGACGUGAGGAGCGAAAAGCGUGGGGGAGCGAACAGG
rnacentral:rRNA from 1 species